UGAUCGGAUCGCUAGUGUUUGCUAGGCUCCGUGCUCGUGCAUCGAACUGCUUACCACCUAUCCUUCUCAGUUGUUUCACGGGCUUAGCUAUGCUCGAUGAUCUGAUCCGGGGCCUGUGUGUCAUACCUAACUAGAAGGCAUUAUUGAGUGCGGUACACAAAGAUGGUUUUGCGACUUAUCCUUCGCGGGUGAUGUCGUGAACCCAAAGACUGUCGCUUGUUUUCCUUUCGAAGUGGCAACUGCGUUGCCUUGUUCGCAUCGGGGAAUAAGUUGUCGGCUGAAAUUUCGGAUGCAGAAAAGUUAAAGACGGUGACUCGAAGCGAUUCAGUCCCGGCAAAGCACAUCUGUCCCUCGGGAAAAAGAUGACGGUCAAGACCUCGUCCGUUCUUUCAUUCCUUAGCGUUUGCUCGAACGUGGCGAGGAAUUGCCGUGAUCGAUGAUUGCUACCUGGUUGAUCCUGCCAGUAGUCAUAUGCUUGUCUCAAAGAUUAAGCCAUGCAUGUGUAAGUAUGAACGAAUUCAGACUGUG
rnacentral:misc_RNA from 1 species